AUACCACUUGGGAAUGAAGUUCUCCCUUGGAUAACCAGAACCGCUUAUUAGCUGAUGACUUCUGUAAUUAA
rnacentral:ncRNA from 2 species